rnacentral:rRNA from 1 species
GACGAACGCUGGCGGCGUGCUUAAUACAUGCAAGUCGAGCGAGGCCUUGGAAUUGGAGUCCUUCGGGAUGAAGAGUCCUUGGCCUAGCGGCGGACGGGUGAGUAACGCGUGGGCAACCUACCCCAAAGUCCGGGAUAACAGUGGGAAACCGCUGCUAAUACCGGAUGGCUUUACCUGAGGGCAUCCUUGGGUAAAGAAAGGUUACGCUUUGGGGAUGGGGCCCGCGUCCCAUUAGCUAGUUGGUGAGGUAACGGCUCACCAAGGCGACGAUGGGUAGCCGGCCUGAGAGGGUGAACGGCCACACUGGGACUGAGACACGGCCCAGACUCCUACGGGAGGCAGCAGUAGGGAAUAUUGCGCAAUGGGCGGAAGCCUGACGCAGCGACGCCGCGUGAGCGAAGAAGGCCUUCGGGUCGUAAAGCUCUGUCCUUGGGGAAGAAGGCGAAAGCUUGACGGUACCCAAGAAGAAAGCCCCGGCUAACUACGUG